rnacentral:rRNA from 1 species
AUGCCCGUGAAGCCAUCCAUGCAUGAGCUCGCCACCUCAUGGGUGGUGUUGUCAUACAAAGGCCACGGGGGCCCAUACGACAUUAAGCCGCGGUCGCCAGUAGUCACUGCUGCAAUGGAGUUGCCUGCAAGGUUGACCAAGCUGUCGUUCACGGCCGCGUCACCCGAGAAAUUGAGGUAUUUUGCGUCGUAUGAGGAUGAGUUGGCGAAGUUGAAGCUAAAUGAGAUGGGUGGCGGCGUUGCGGCGGCGACAUGUCAAGGAGCAUCGAGCGGCGAGGAGAGGAGGAAGCAGCCGGCGUAG